UACGUAGGGGGGCAAGCGUUGUCCGGAUUUAUUGGGCGUAAAGAGCGUGUAGGCGGCCUGAAAGGUCAGCUGUGAAAAACUCGAGGCUCAACCUCGAGACGUCGGUUGAAACCAUCUGGCUAGAGUCCGGAAGAGGAGUGUGGAAUUCCCGGUGUAGCGGUGAAAUGCGCAGAUAUCGGGAAGAACACCCGUGGCGAAGGCGGCACUCUGGGACGGUACUGACGCUGAGACGCGAAAAGCGUGGGGGAGCGAACAGG
rnacentral:rRNA from 1 species